rnacentral:tRNA from 1 species
UAUUAGAUGACUGAAAAUGUUAAGUAUUGAUCUUUUAAAUCAAUUAUAGUAAAUUAUAAAAACAAUUACUUCUAAUAA